AGGGAAGAAUUCUGACGGUACCUAAGGAAUAAGCACCGGCUAACUCCGUGCCAGCAGCCGCGGUAAUACGGAGGGUGCAAGCGUUACUCGGAAUCACUGGGCGUAAAGGGCGCGUAGGCGGAUUAUCAAGUCUCUUGUGAAAUCUAAUGGCUUAACCAUUAAACUGCUUGGGAAACUGAUAGUCUAGAGUGAGGGAGAGGCAGAUGGAAUUGGUGGUGUAGGGGUAAAAUCCGUAGAUAUCACCAAGAAUACCCAUUGCGAAGGCGAUCUGCUGGAACUCAACUGACGCUAAGGCGCGAAAGCGUGGGGAGCAAACAGGAUUAGAUACCCUGGUAGUCCACGCCCUAAACGAUGUACACUAGUUGUUGGGGUGCUAGUCAUCUCAGUAAUGCAGCUAACGCAUUAAGUGUACCGCCUGGGGAGUACGGUCGCAAGAUUAAAACUCAAAGGAAUAGACGGGGACCCGCACAAGCGGUGGAGCAUGUGGUUUAAUUCGAAGAUACGCGAAGAACCUUACCUGGGCUUGAUAUCCUAAGAACCUUUUAGAGAUAAGAGGGUGCUAGCUUGCUAGAACUUAGAGACAGGUGCUGCACGGCUGUCGUCAGCUCGUGUCGUGAGAUGUUGGGUUAAGUCCCGCAACGAGCGCAACCCACGUAUUUAGUUGCUAACGGUUCGGCCGAGCACUCUAAAUAGACUGCCUUCGUAAGGAGGAGGAAGGUGUGGACGACGUCAAGUCAUCAUGGCCCUUAUGCCCAGGGCGACACACGUGCUACAAUGGCAUAUACAAUGAGACGCAAUACCGCGAGGUGGAGCAAAUCUAUAAAAUAUGUCCCAGUUCGGAUUGUUCUCUGCAACUCGAGAGCAUGAAGCCGGAAUCGCUAGUAAUCGUAGAUCAGCCAUGCUACGGUGAAUACGUUCCCGGGUCUUGUACUCACCGCCCGUCACACCAUGGGAGUUGAUUUCACUCGAAGCCGGAAUACUAAACUAGUUACCGUCCACAGUGGAAUCAGCGACUGGGGUGAAGUCGUAACAAGGUAACCGUAGGAGAACCUGCGGUUGGAUCACCUCCUUUCUA
rnacentral:rRNA from 1 species